ACACCGAUGGCGAAGGCAGGUCUCUGGGCUGUAACUGACGCUGAGGAGCGAAAGCAUGGGGAGCGAACAGGAUUAGAUACCCUGGUAGUCCAUGCCGUAAACGUUGGGCACUAGGUGUGGGGGACAUUCCACGUUUUCCGCGCCGUAGCUAACGCAUUAAGUGCCCCGCCUGGGGAGUACGGCCGCAAGGCUAAAACUCAAAGGAAUUGACGGGGGCCCGCACAAGCGGCGGAGCAUGCGGAUUAAUUCGAUGCAACGCGAAGAACCUUACCAAGGCUUGACAUGGACCGGACCGCCGCAGAAAUGCGGUUUCCCUUCGGGGCCGGUUUACAGGUGGUGCAUGGUUGUCGUCAGCUCGUGUCGUGAGAUGUUGGGUUAAGUCCCGCAACGAGCGCAACCCUCGUUCUAUGUUGCCAGCGCGUUAUGGCGGGGACUCAUAGGAGACUGCCGGGGUCAACUCGGAGGAAGGUGGGGACGACGUCAAAUCAUCAUGCCCCUUAUGUCUUGGGCUUCACGCAUGCUACAAUGGCCGGUACAAAGGGUUGCGAUACUGUGAGGUGGAGCUAAUCCCAAAAAGCCGGUCUCAGUUCGGAUUGAGGUCUGCAACUCGACCUCAUGAAGUCGGAGUCGCUAGUAAUCGCAGAUCAGCAACGCUGCGGUGAAUACGUUCCCGGGCCUUGUACACACCGCCCGUCAAGUCACGAAAGUUGGUAACACCCGAAGCCGGUGG
rnacentral:rRNA from 1 species